rnacentral:rRNA from 1 species
AGGGUUUGAUUAUGGCUCAGGACGAACGCUGGCGGCGUGCUUAACACAUGCAAGUCAAAGGAGAAAGACCCUUCGGGGACGAGUACACUGGCGAACGGGUUAGUAACGCGUAGGCAACCUACCCUAAAGUUUGGAAUAACUCCGCGAAAGCGGAGCUAAUACCGGAUAAUAUCCCAUCUCAUAAGAGGUUGGGAUUAAAGAAGGCUUCGGCUUUCACUUUUGGAUGGGCCUGCGUCUGAUUAGUUUGUUGGUGAGGUAAAGGCUCACCAAGACGAUGAUCAGUAGCUGGUUUGAGAGGACGAUCAGCAACAUUGGGACUGAGAUACGGCCCAGACUCCUACGGGAGGCAGCAGUGGGGAAUUUUGCGCAAUAGGCGAAAGCCUGACGCAGCAACGCCGCGUGAUCGAAGAAGCUCUGCGGAGUGUAAAGAUCUGUCAUAGGGGAAGAAAAAUUUCGUUAUUAACACCAUCGAAACGUGACGGUACCCUAUAAGAAAGCCCCGGCUAACUUCGUGCCAGCCGCCGCGGUAAUAC